CCUCUCUCUGUGAUCUCAUUUGACCGUAGCUGUUGCUGCAGCAAACCCCUGGUUCUGUUCAGUCCAAAUGCCGGUUCCUGUUGACGCGGCGCCAGCUCCAUGCCAGAUUAUCAAGGCGGACGCUGACAAGUGCGUUCUAGAAAAGAAAGCGGUGGCCUGCAAGGAUCUGAUGGAUGCCUUCCACACCUGCAUAAAAACUCUGUGUGACGGAUCCUGAUAAAUGAAGAAACAUGGAUUUGAAAAGUGGCCACCAGUUAAAGAUUUUUGCUAGCUUCCAGAUCUCACAGUGAGGAGAAAUCUGGAACAAACUGAGUUACCAGAAAACUCAAGAUGAAUGUAAUUCCAAUGUGUCCAACAGCACAACACUUGUUUAAAUUAAAAUAAUGCAAAUAACAUAAUGA